UCAGUGACACAAGCCAAUACCCCAUGUCCAUGACCCCCUGCCCCCACCCCAGCCUACGAUCUCUCACAGAGUCACAGUCACUGUUCACACAACAGCUGCUAGUAGCCGUAGCCCGUAGGCGAGCCAGAGGCGGCCCAAUUCGAGAGCGGUUCCGGCGGCGUGGGCGGCGCCGUGCCUGAGAUCGGAGCCCCGUGGCGCGGUGCUGGCAACUGGCGGCGCGAUGUGGGCGGUCCACGGGAGGGAGUCCACGGCCGCUGCGCUUCGCCUGCUGCUGAUCGCGAUCGCCUGCGGCCUCGUCUUCGCGCUCCUCCACCUCCCCCUCCCGGAUGACCGUGCGCGAACCGCCGACCCCGGUGGGCAGCGCGGCGCUGCUGGGGGCGGCGGGGCCCGCCUGUCGGUGCAGCAGGGGAGGGUUCGAGAGGCCAGAAGGCUGAGUGUCGUCACCGAAGAGACAGAUGGGCAAACUGACGAAACGGCGGCGGAAGAAGAUGAAAGGAUAUCUAAAUCUCCCCCAGACACCAAAGAGAAGAUCUGGAUGAUGCAAGAUCAGCUAAUUUUGGCCAAGGCGUACUUGCAUUUCGCUUCUCCCCAAGGUAGUGUACAUUUAGUUCGAGAGCUGAAAUUGAAGAUAAAAGAGAUCGAAAGGGCAAUAAGCCACUCAAGUGGAGGUACCCAUGUACCUGGGAGUGUGUUGCAAAAAAUAAAGGCGAUGGAGCUGACCCUUUCAAAGGCUCAGAGGACCUACCCGCAUUGCUCUCAGAUGACGUCAAAGCUACGUGCAAUGAUGCAUAAUAGUGAAGAAUUGGUCAGAGCACACCAAAGUGAAUCUUCAUUCCUUGAGCAGGUUGCUGUGAGGACAUUACCCAAAGGCCAUCACUGCCUAGCAAUGCAGCUUACCGCAGAAUACUUUUCGUUAGAUCCCACUAAACGUGAAUUCCCUAAAAGAGACAACAUUCAGUUGGGUGGUUAUUAUCAUUAUGCGAUGUUCUCUGACAAUGUGCUUGCAAGUGCUGUGGUUGUCAACUCUACAAUUGCUGCAUCAAAGUACAAUUAAAAUAAUGGAACUUCAAUGUGGGAACUGCUGCGAAAAUUUAGAUGCAAUGAGCAUGGAAGGGAGGACUGCACCAUGACUUCUUCAGUAGAAUCUUCUUUUCAUUCAGCCUGUCUUAUUUGGCAGGAUCCUGGAAGGAUAUUAUUACAUAUUGUAACUGACGCGUUGAAUUAUCCUGCAAUGAUGAUGUGGUUUCUGACAAACCCACCAACUCCAUCAGUAAUCCAAAUCCAGAGCCUAGAUGAUUUGAAAUGGUUGCCUGGUGAUUUCAGUUCCAGAUUCAAGCUGAAGGGGGUUCGGGAUCCGAGAUACACUUCUGCACUCAACCACUUGCGUUUUUAUUUGCCAGAAGUGUUUCCAUCUUUGAGCAAGGUUCUACUCUUGGACCAUGAUGUGGUAGUACAGAAUGACUUGUCUGGAUUAUGGGACCUAGAUAUGAAGGGUAAGGUAACCGGUGCUGUCGACACAUGCACCUCAAGUGAAGGUUUCCGCCAAUUGGAUAGCCUUAUUGAUUUUUCCAAUCCAAGCGUCUUCAACGAACUUGACCCAAAGGCUUGUGCAUUUGCAUUUGGGAUGAACAUAUUUGACCUGAACGAAUGGCGCAAACAGGGUUUGAGUACAACCUAUCAUAGAUGGUUUCAACUGGGCAAAAGUGAGAAGUUGUGGAAGGCAGGAAGCCUGCCACUGGGUCAGGUCGUCUUCUACAACCGGACGCUGCCUCUGGACCACCGGUGGCAUGUUCUAGGGCUCGGUCAUGACUCCAGCAUCGGAAGAGAUGAACUCGAGAGUGCCUCUGUCAUCCACUACAGUGGGAAACUCAAACCCUGGUUGGAGAUUUCUAUCCCAAAGUACAGAGGCUACUGGAACAGGUACCUUAACUACGAUAACCCGCACUUGCAGCAGUGCAACAUUCACGGAUAGAGGCGAUGGCGGGUGAGGUGAUUCGCAAGGUAGAACUGGGAUAUACGCAACUUCGCUGUAGUAACUUAUUAGGAGAGCAAGUUGUUGUUUUUUUGUUUCUGUUGCUAGAUGCCCUAUUUGCAAUUUUGUUUGCUAGUAGUCACAAUCGGUACAAAAGCAAAAAAGGAAGAACAAAAUCGAGUACACGAGCUACAGUUUCACUAGUGAUACACUGAAGGUUUGACAGAAGUCAAGCCACUAGCUAACAUUAUCAAUAACUAGUGUUGCCUCGGACCUGGGGAAGAGUGCGAAUUCCACGGAGCUCAGUUAGCGUGCGUUGGACAAGAUAGAUGUAAAGUUUUCGCGAUAAUAUCGUUCUCUCUUACAAAGAAAGGGGUUUUACUACUGCCAUUUAAAA